rnacentral:rRNA from 1 species
UACGGAGGGAGCUAGCGUUGUUCGGAAAUACUGGGCGUAAAGCGCACGUAGGCGGCGCAGCAAGUCAGGGGUGAAAUCCCGGGGCUCAACCCCGGAACUGCCUCUGAAACUGCAGUGCUAGAAUCUUGGAGAGGCGAGUGGAAUUCCGAGUGUAGAGGUGAAACUCGUAGAUAUUCGGAAGAACACCAGUGGCGAAGGCGACUCGCUGGACAAGUAUUGACGCUGAGGUGCGAAAGCGUGGGGAGCAAACAGG